UUUAAACUGGUUUGGAAAACCAAAUAUAUUAUAUAUUUUGCUUUGUUCAAAAUAAGGUUUUCUAAUAAAUUAUGUUUUUAUCAGAUAUGACAGAAUCUUUUUUAAAAUCUCUUCAAUAUGCUUUUAUUGCUUUUGAGAGGUUUUGUUACUUUGAGUAAAAUUAAGUGUUCAUAACAGACGGGUAGUCAUGAUUGAGUUCAUUGUGA
rnacentral:rRNA from 1 species